UACGUAGGUGGCAAGCGUUGUCCGGAAUUACUGGGUGUAAAGGGAGCGUAGGCGGGAAGACAAGUUGAAUGUUUAAACUAUCGGCUCAACCGAUAAUCGCGUUCAAAACUGUUUUUCUUGAGUGAAGUAGAGGCAGGCGGAAUUCCUAGUGUAGCGGUGAAAUGCAUAGAUAUCGCGCAGAACCCCGAUUGCGAAGGCAGCCUGCCGGCCCCACACUGACGCUGAGGCACGAAAGCGUGGGUAUCGAACAGG
rnacentral:rRNA from 1 species